AUUGAACGCUGGCGGCAGGCCUAACACAUGCAAGUCGAGCGAGUGGCGGACGGGUGAGUAAUGUAUGGGGAACUGCCCGAUAGAGGGGGAUAACUACUGGAAACGGUGGCUAAUACCGCAUACCAUCGGAUGUACCCAUAUGGGAUUAGCUAGUAGGUGGGGUAAAGGCUCACCUAGGCGACGAUCCCUAGCUGGUCUGAGAGGAUGAUCAGCCAAACUGGAACUGAGACACGGCCCAGACUCCUACGGGAGGCAGCAGUGGGGAAUAUUGCACAAUGGGCGCAAGCCUGAUGCAGCCAUGCCGCGUGUAUGAAGAAGGCCUUAGGGUUGUAAAGUACUUUCAGCGGGGAGGCGUUACCCGCAGAAGAAGCACCGGCUAACUCCGUGCCAGCAGCCGCGGUAAUUC
rnacentral:rRNA from 1 species